rnacentral:tRNA from 2 species
AAAUAAGAAGCAAAUUAUUGCAUUUAGUUUCGACCUAAAAGUUUGAUGACUUUCAUCCUUAUUUU